UACGUAGGGGGCAAGCGUUGUCCGGAUUUAUUGGGCGUAAAGAGCGUGUAGGCGGCUAGAUAGGUCCGUUGUGAAAACUCGAGGCUCAACCUCGAGACGUCGAUGGAAACCAUCUGGCUAGAGUCCGGAAGAGGAGAGUGGAAUUCCUGGUGUAGCGGUGAAAUGCGCAGAUAUCAGGAAGAACACCCGUGGCGAAAGCGGCUCUCUGGAACGGUACUGACGCUGAGGUGCGAAAGCGUGGGGAGCGAACAGG
rnacentral:rRNA from 1 species